GUUUGCCUACACAUGCAAGUUGCACGGCGCCAUGCCUCUCGAGGAAUGGCGGAGUGGCGGACGGGUGAGGAACGCGUAAGGACCUGCCCCUGGGAGGGGGAUAACAGCUGGAAACGGCUGCUAAUACCCCAUAUCCUGAGGAGGGAAAGGAGAGAUCCGCCCAGGGAGGGGCUUGCGUCUGAUUAGCUAGUUGGGGGGGUAAUGGCCUCCCAAGGCAACGAUCAGUUGCUGGUCUGAGAGGAUGAUCAGCCACACUGGGACUGAGACACGGCCCAGACUCCUACGGGAGGCAGCAGUGAGGAAUCUUCCGCAAUGGGCGAAAGCCUGACGGGGCAAUGCCGCGUGGAGGAUGAAGGCCCAAUGGGUCGUAAACUUCUUUAGAUCAGAGACGAAGAGAUGACGGUACCUGAAGAACUAAGCAUCGGCUAAACCCCGUGCCAGCAGCCGCGGUAAGACGGGGGAUGCGAGCGUUAUCCGGAAUGAUUGGGCGUAAAGGGUCCGCAGGUGGCCCGGUCAGUCCGCUGUCAAAACCUGGGGCUCAACCCUGGACAGGCGGCGGAGACCACCGGGCUUGAGUCCGGUAGGGGCAGAAGGAAUUCCCGGUGGAGCGGUGAAAUGCGUAGAGGUCGGGAA
rnacentral:rRNA from 1 species